rnacentral:rRNA from 1 species
AACGAACGCUGGCGGCAUGCCUAACACAUGCAAGUCGAACGAGACCUUCGGGUCUAGUGGCGCACGGGUGCGUAACGCGUGGGAACCUGCCCUUAGGUUCGGAAUAACUCCCCGAAAGGGGUGCUAAUACCGGAUAAUGUCUUCGGACCAAAGAUUUAUCGCCUUUGGAUGGGCCCGCGUUGGAUUAGCUAGUUGGUAGGGUAAAAGCCUACCAAGGCGACGAUCCAUAGCUGGUCUGAGAGGAUGAUCAGCCACACUGGGACUGAGACACGGCCCAGACUCCUACGGGAGGCAGCAGUGGGGAAUAGUGGAAAAUGGGCGAAAGCCUGAUCCAGCAAUGCCGCGUGAGUGAUGAAGGCCUUAGGGUUGUAAAGCUCUUUUACCCGGGAUGAUAAUGACAGUACCGGGAGAAUAAGCCCCGGCUAACUCCGUG